GUUACUUCACCCUGUUGCGGCAGGAAAGUUCAAGGUGUCCUGGCAGCAGGGAGUUCCUUUGCUCCACCCUCUGCCCUGCACACCGGCUCUCCGGGCUUAUCCAGGGUUUGCUGAAACAGAGCUGCCGGCGACGGUGACCUGAUCCGUGUGGCCACCCGGGUGGGAGCUGGACCCCCAGCAUGAAGCACUUCUCCAGCAAGCCCUGGGCAGCCUUCGCUCUGCUCUUCUUCACCAUCACGCUCCGGUAUUCCUCCUCAGCAGCAGCUGAAGACGUCUCCAAUGUUUCAUCAAGCUCCAAGCUCACAACUGAGUACGAACCACCAUGUCUUAACGUGAACUUCUGCCCACAAGCGGCCCUGUGCUGCCCAUCGGGUAUGGACGACUACGGAUGGAUCGCAGCAGCCGUCGGCUGGAGCCUCUGGUUUCUGACUCUCAUCCUGCUCUGCGUGGACAAGAUCACAAAACUCCGGCCUGACGAACCCAAAUAUUUGGUAGCCUGAAGCAGGGCAAGACAGCAAGCACCCGGGAGCAGUGGGGUGCAGUCUGACAGAGCAUUUCAAUCACUUCCUAAGAAACAAAAAAGAAAGGGAAUGUACCUUCAGCUAAAAAAGGUCAGAUCUAAGUGGGGCACCUGCUGGGCCUUCACGCUCCAUGGCAGGUAAAGAGCUGUCAGGCAAGGUGUGGAGCAGGCAAGUCCCUCUAAGCUACCACAUGUGUCCCACAGUGCACAGAAAUCCUUUUCCCUGAGCCCUUCCAUGCCCAUUGCGAGUGCAGCACCAGCAAUGAGACCCUGAAGGACCAGCUACCAGUCUACAGGAUAUUGCCUUAGGACAACCCAGUACAUAACCUUUGCCUUUGAAACAGAAAGUGGGCAAAUAAAGCUAUUUUCUGGAGGAUCA
rnacentral:lncRNA from 1 species